rnacentral:tRNA from 1 species
GUCACUAUACUUUAAUUAAGAAGGUUUGGUUUGCAACUAAACAGUGGGUAUUAUUGCUCUAGUGCCA